GACGAGCGCUGGCGGCGUGCUUAACACAUGCAAGUCGAACGGAAAGGCCCUGCUUUUGUGGGGUGCUCGAGUGGCGAACGGGUGAGUAACACGUGAGUAACCUGCCCUUGACUUUGGGAUAACUUCAGGAAACUGGGGCUAAUACCGGAUAGGAGCUCCUGCUGCAUGGUGGGGGUUGGAAAGUUUCGGCGGUUGGGGAUGGACUCGCGGCUUAUCAGCUUGUUGGUGGGGUAGUGGCUUACCAAGGCUUUGACGGGUAGCCGGCCUGAGAGGGUGACCGGCCACAUUGGGACUGAGAUACGGCCCAGACUCCUACGGGAGGCAGCAGUGGGGAAUAUUGCACAAUGGGCGGAAGCCUGAUGCAGCAACGCCGCGUGCGGGGUGACGGCCUUCGGGUUGUAAACCGCUUUCGCCUGUGACGAAGCGUGAGUGACGGUAAUGGGUAAAGAAGCACCGGCUAACUACGUG
rnacentral:rRNA from 1 species